UACGUAGGGGGCAAGCGUUGUCCGGAUUUAUUGGGCGUAAAGAGCGUGUAGGCGGCCAUACAGGUCAGCUGUGAAAACUCGAGGCUCAACCUCGAGACGUCGGUUGAAACCGUAUGGCUAGAGUCCGGAAGAGGAGAGUGGGAAUUCAUGGUGUAGGGGUGAAAUCUGUAGAUAUCAUGAGGAACAUCAGUGGCGAAGGCGGCUCUCUGGUACACUUCUGGACGCUCAGACGCGAAAGCAUGGGGAGCAAACAGGG
rnacentral:rRNA from 1 species